UGGAAGCUUUAGAGAAAUUGCUUAUUCUGCUUAUUACUCUCUGGAUGGGUAUAAAGCAGACAAAGCAACUCCACAAAGCAUCCAUACAAAGUCUUUUUUAUUGGUUCAUCGGGCAUCCUUAUCAACUCACAGUUGUGACAAGGUUCUUCUUAAUGUCCAAUCCUUUGCAUAUCUGCA